rnacentral:rRNA from 1 species
CAUGCAAGUCGAACGGAGUCAAGAGAAGCUUGCUUUUCUUGACUUAGUGGCGAACGGGUGAGUAACGCGUGAGUAACCUGCCCUGGAGUGGGGGACAACAGUUGGAAACGACUGCUAAUACCGCAUAAGCCCACGGCCCGGCAUCGGGCUGAGGGAAAAGGAUUUAUUCGCUUCAGGAUGGACUCGCGUCCAAUUAGCUAGUUGGUGAGGUAACGGCCCACCAAGGCGACGACUGGUAGCCGGACUGAAAGGUUGAACGGCCACAUUGGGACUGAGACACGGCCCAGACUCCUACGGGAGGCAGCAGUGGGGGAUAUUGCACAAUGGGGGAAACCCUGAUGCAGCGACGCCGCGUGGAGGAAGAAGGUUUUCGGAUUGUAAACUCCUGUCGUUAGGGACGAUAAUGACGGUACCUAACAAGAAAGCACCGGCUAACUACGUGCCAGCAGCCGCGGUAAAACGUAGGGUGCAAGCGUUGUCCGGAAUUACUGGGUGUAAAGGGAGCGCAGGCGGACCGGCAAGUUGGAAGUGAAAACUAUGGGCUCAACCCAUAAAUUGCUUUCAAAACUGCUGGCCUUGAGUAGUGCAGAGGUAGGUGGAAUUCCCGGUGUAGCGGUGGAAUGCGUAGAUAUCGGGAGGAACACCAGUGGCGAAGGCGACCUACUGGGCACCAACUGACGCUGAGGCUCGAAAGCAUGGGUAGCAAA